GACGAACGCUGGCGGCGUGCCUAAUACAUGCAAGUCGAGCGGACUUUCAAGAAGCUUGCUUUUUGAACGUUAGCGGCGGACGGGUGAGUAACACGUGGGCAACCUGCCUGCAAGACGGGGAUAACUUCGGGAAACCGGGGCUAAUACCGGAUAAUAUCUUCCUUCGCAUGAAGGAAGGUUGAAAGGCGGCGCAAGCUGCCGCUUGCAGUUGGUCCCGCGGCGCAUUAGUUAUUUGGUGAGGUAACGGCUCACCAAGGCGACGAAGGGUAGCCGACCUGGGGAGGGGAUCGGCCACAAUGGGACUGGGAAACGGCCCAGACUCCUACGGGAGGCAGCAGUAGGGAAACUUCCGCAAAAGACGAAAGGCUGACGGGGCAACGCCGCGUGAGCGAAGAAGGUCUUCGGAUCGGAAAGAUCUGUUGUCAGGGAAGAACAAGUACCGUACGAACAGGGCGGUACCUUGACGGUACCUGACCAGAAAGCCACGGCUAACUACGUG
rnacentral:rRNA from 1 species